AUCGCAGGGCAACUUUAGAGGAGCUUGACUUGAUAAACCAAAUUCUUCCUCAGUUUUAAGAGGUUCUUGUAGUUUAUGAGUAGAAAAAACUCGUCAGGACCUCUACUUUUUGACAGUGAAAUUGAAAGCACAGUUCGCAGAAAUCAUAGGGAAAUAAGGCAGAGUCUACAGUAUAUAGAGGAAGAGCACGAGGACGAUAGAUAGCUAAAAAUUAGAAUAAUUCGCUACCUCCUGUGGUUGCCGCAAUUCUCGUAAAUCAGAAUCCUGCUCCUCGUACUAUGUACGAUUAUGCUAGGCCCACUCUCACUGGGGCCGAAUCUAGUAUUGUUAGACCUACCAUUGUUGCAAAUAAUUUUGAACUAAAACCUAACACUAUUCGAAUGAUUCAACAGUUUGUUCAGUUUGAUGGUUUGAAAGAUGAAGACCCGAAUACACAUUUGGCCAAUUUCUUAGAGUUCUGUGAUACUUUCAAGAUAAAUGACAUUUCUAACGACACUAUUCGCCUACAA